rnacentral:rRNA from 1 species
UACGAAGGGGGCUAGCGUUGCUCGGAAUUACUGGGCGUAAAGCGCACGUAGGCGGAUUGUUAAGUCGGGGGUGAAAUCCUGGAGCUCAACUCCAGAACUGCCUUCGAUACUGGCGAUCUCGAGUUCGGGAGAGGUGAGUGGAACUGCGAGUGUAGAGGUGAAAUGCGUAGAUAUCGCUUGGAACGCCAACGGUGAAAACAGGCUGCUGGGGGUGUGCUGACGCUGGAGACACGAAAGCCAGGGGAGCGAACGGG